UGCACCAUCCCGAUGAACUGAUGAUACUGACCAUGCCCUUACCGCUAUUUAUGUAACUAUUGUUUUCGUUUGGAGUGAAAGACAUUCGUGGCCGUCCUACCCCACGGCAUUGACGUCAAUGGGUCAAUCAACUCGACCGACUGACCCUCGCCCGCGACAAUGCGAAACGCAAGUCGGCAGGAGUCGUCCGAACAGGAUUGUCCAGUUCCAACUGGCUUUCGGCGAGUCGCGGCGACGAGCUUUGACAUACGACUAGCAUUUCAGACUAGACUUAAUUUAUACACCACACGAGGCUGAACUUUAUAGUUUAACGUGUUUUCCUUGUUCUCCGAGAAAAAAAAGUCCACUGUGGCCAAUCCGAUCUUCCUUGCAACAAGAACUCUACCAGGAAGGUACGAAAGGAAACUAAGGAAAAUCGGGCUUUCCUGCUUUACCCAUGAAAAAAUCCACGUGGGCUUUUCUGAAAUCCAAAUAAGUUGCCAUUGAAGGGACAACCGCAUUUAUCUACGUUUCGGCCGAUAGCACCCACAGCGCAGAUGUUUCUGUCGUACUAUGGCUCAGAACUGGGGCGAACGUUAUGGAAAAAAUCGACGCUGGAUAAAUUUUGGCCCAUUUGAUAAAGGCGAGGUCGCAAGUUGAAGUGUACACGUUCGACACCACGUGAGCCCUCCCUGCAAUCUGGAACGGGGAUUCGAUAAAAGAUGACCCCUGGUCGUGGUUCGACCCCCGCGGACCACCAACAACAAACCUUUUCAAGGUUGGAUUGUUGAUCGUAUUUGUACAAACUAAGGCCCAAACACAAGUGUCAAAUUCAGGACAAAUUUUCCAUUGCCACAAUGAAAGACAAUGAAAAUUUUUAAGAUUUCCUUUUG